GUACAACAUUACGAAGAGUUAGAAAGACAUAUUCAUAUUGCAUUAGACUAAGUGUAAAUAUAGCGUCAAAUUAUUGCCGUUAUCAGUGAACAAAAUACGCUGUGUUGUAUGAAGUUUUUUUGGCAAUGCUGUACGACAAAAGGAUUAAUGGAUGGAUAUUGGUUUAACAUUACCCCUCGUAGAUUAUAUUAUACUACUCCCAGGCACGUGCAAUACACAAUUUUACUCGCGAC
rnacentral:lncRNA from 1 species